rnacentral:rRNA from 1 species
CACGGGGGUGGCAAGCGUUGUCCGGAAUUACUAGGCGUAAAGUGCAAUAAGGCGGAGAUGUAAGUCAGAUGUAAAAGGCACCGGCUCAACCGGUGUGACGCAUUUGAUACUGUAUUUCUGGAGUAAGGUGGAGGGAGACGGAAUUCCUGGUGUAGCGGUGGAAUGCGUAGAUAUCAGGAAGAACACCAAAGGCGCAGGCAGUUUUCCAUACCAUUACUGACGCUGAUUUGCGAAGGUGUGGGUAUCGAACAGG